ACUAUACCGAAGAAUAUUUAACUUUUCCUCCUACUGUCCAUUCUCUCAUAUCAAUACAAUAACAUCCACGAUAACGAUUUCAGUACCAUGUGUAAUUUACAAAUACACAAGCAUAUUCUAAACCCUAGAAUGAAUAACUUCCAAUCUACAAAAUCUAAUCAAGAUAAUUCCUUUGAUUACAAUUCCUCUCCACUAAACUUACAACCUUGCAAUA
rnacentral:lncRNA from 1 species